GCAUUUUCACAGAUAAGCCCCUCCACCUCUGAAAGUAUUUAGAAAUAGGUCCCUGGUUUAUUAUAAAUCAGUCCUAAACCUCCGUUUAAGCCCCUAAUCCAUGUUUAACCCGUCAUUUCAUGCGCCAAACUUCCUCCAAUUAAACCCAAAUUUCACCAUGCCAUCCUCUGGAAUACUUUCGCUGAUCCAUAUCCAAAUUUCCAAAGAAUAAUCCUUCUACCUAUUUUCCGUCAACG
rnacentral:lncRNA from 1 species